rnacentral:lncRNA from 1 species
UGGUCAUCAAUUUUUAUUUAUUUUUUUGGAAAUAUAGAAUUUGAAUUUAUCCCAUAAGCACUUUAACUAUGGUACUACUACUAACUCUUGAACUAAUCUGCUUUCAUCUCCCGGAAUUCAAGAGCAAGUAAGUAGAAUCAGAUUAUUAUCCAUUAUUAGUCACAUCCUAUCCGAUCCUAAUUUUAAUCCAAAUUGUUGUUAAUCCUUUUACUAACUCUCUUCCAUUAUCUCUGUAACACACGGCUAUCCUUAUAGCCACUCUCACUCCUAUAUAUGCACACCCAAAUACACUUCUUUUCAAUCGCUCAGCUUGAGCAUAUAAUUCACUAUUUUCUCGUUUUGGGUUUUGGGUUUUCUGGGUUGAGACUUAAAAAUCGUCAAGAAUGGAGAUUGAUCUUUCACCCAAGUUGCCCAAGAAGGUGCACAGUGGAGAUGGUGGGUCCUACUUUUCUUGGUGCCCGUCUGAGCUUCCCAUGCUCCGUGAAGGUAACAUUGGCGCUGCCAAGCUGGCCCUUGAGAAGAACGGGUUUGCUCUCCCUCAAUACUGCGAUUCUGCCAAGGUCGCUUACGUCCUUCAAGGUAUAAUUUUGUUUUCGUUUCAUGAUCGGCUUGAUCGUAUUUACUUUUCUUGUUUGUUUAUUUGUCUGGUCGCUCAUUUAUUUUUGUGGGUCAUGGAAUUCGUAGAUGAAAAGUGAUUUUAACUUUAACAUCAAAGAUGAUGAUCUUGAAAUUGUUUAAUGAAUAGUGAUUACAUUUAAAAUUAAAUGAGAUCACGUUUGUUUAAUGUGGUAUAAUUGCAUAUUUUAUUUUCUGGGAUUUGUCAUUAUUAUUAUACACUUUUUUAUUAUAAUGCCCUUGUUGAAAUCAAUUUAGCACCUAUUCUGUUAUUAUGAGACCUUAGGAGCUUGUGGUAAUUGUUAUGUUUGAACUUUGUUCUCUUGUUUUACUAUAGGUAAUGGUGUAGUUGGAAUUGUGCUUCAAGAGAAGGAAGAGAAGAUUCUUCCAGUGAAGAAGGGUGAUGCCAUUGCCCUCCCUUUUGGAGUUGUUACUUGGUGGUACAACAAGGAGGACACUGAGUUUGUAGUUCUUUUCUUGGGUGACACUUCAAAAGCACACAAAAGGGGUGAGUUCACUUCCUUCUAUCUUAAUGGCUCCAAUGGCAUUUUCACUGGCUUCUCAACCGAGUUUGUGGGUCGAGCAUGGGAUUUGGAGGAGAGCAUUGUGAAGACUCUCGUUGGAAAGCAAUCCGGUAAGGGCAUAGUCAAGCUUAGUGGAGUUAACUUACCUGAGCCAAAGAAGGAACACCGAGAUGGUAUGACAUUGAACUGUGAAGAGGCUCCUCUGGAUGUUGACAUUAAGAAUGGUGGAAGAGUUGUUGUUUUGAACACUAAAAACCUUCCUUUGGUUGGUGAGGUUGGACUUGGCGCUGACCUUGUUAGAUUGGAUGGAAGCGCUAUGUGCUCCCCUGGAUUUUCUUGUGACUCCGCCCUGCAGGUGACUUAUAUUGUUAGGGGCAGUGGCCGUGUCCAAGUUGUUGGAGUUGACGGUAAGAGGGCCUUGGAAACAACUAUCAAAGCUGGCAAUUUGUUCAUCGUUCCUAGGUACUUUGUUGUUUCGAAGAUUGCUGAUCCAGAUGGCUUGGAAUGGUUUUCUAUCAUCACUACUCCCAAGUAAGUAUUUGUUUCUUUACAUUAUCAGAUGUUCUUAGUGUGUCUUGUAUGUCUGCAAUCUGCUUUUCUUCCAUGUUUUAUUGAAGCAUACUCUUGCUGCUUGGAACACACACAUGUAAAUUUAUUCCCACCACACACAGAAGGCAUAAUUCAGAAAUAUUUGGCACCUUCUUAAAAACUUUUUAGUGUAGAUCUAUGCUAAGCAUAAAAAGUUACAACUUGGUGUUUAACAUCUUGCUAACGCAUAUUUUGCUGCAGUCCCAUAUUCACCCACUUGGCUGGAAGCAUUGGUUGUUGGAAGGCUUUAUCUCCUCAGGUGCUCCAGGCUGCCUUCAAUGUGGAUGCAGAUACAGAAAAACUAUUCCGGUCGAAGAGGACUGCUGAUGCUAUCUUCUUCCCCCCACCAAAGUGAACAAGUUUAGCUUAUAUCUAGUUUCGUGGUCCAAAUAAAGGCAUUUUGCAGUUAGGGAUUUCUUUGGCUUUGUUUUAGAACCCUCUUCUAGGGAGAUGUCAUGUUAGCUAUUAUGGUUCAAUUUUGGAACUUUCAUAAAUGUUAAUAGUAGUGGCUUUUGGACCUGCCAUAUUGCUUAUAAAAUCAAUACCAAUUUCGUACUCUGUUUAAUUGAAGAUGAUUU